AAUCAGAAAUGGAACUUCAGUCCCCAAAUGACCAUCUCAGGACUUCUUCCCCUGCCUUCACCACCACAUCAUGCCUUAAGUUUGCAUGACUGAGUGCUUUGUGUGAUGCUCUAGUGACAGAUGAGGAAACUGAGGCCAGAGAAGUUGAAGCAGAUAAGGAGUUGAUAGCAGAACCAGGCCUCCAGAUCCCCUCUCCACCCCACAGUUCAAGUCUCUGUCAGCACAGCCCCUGCCAUUCUGCAGUGUUCACCUCCACGUUCAUGAACCAUGCACAGUGAACUGGAUUUUCUGAAGAUGACCCAGCCCCAUCCAGCCAACAACCUCGAGCUCCAGCAGGCCUCCUGCUUGUCCAAGGCCGGCCUUCUGCUCCACCUCAUCCCCUAUGCAGGAUCCAGGGUGGGUGCAUCAGCUAGGAGAGGGGAAUAAGGCACACUUGCAAGGGAAGGGCAAGGGCAGAGGCCCAAAUGAGUGUGCACAAUGCCCCAUGGAGUUCCUGGAUGUCCCCAGGAACCAAGAAGAGCUGGCACCUAGAUCGCUGGGCCUGGAGAGGAGGGAAGGAGGGUAAACUCC
rnacentral:lncRNA from 10 species